rnacentral:lncRNA from 1 species
UUUCCGGGGAUCCCACGCUCCGGAAUGUGUGCCGGCCACACGGUGUGUGUGAUUUGCUUCUGUCCCCACUGAGCUUGGCCGGCCCCCAACGUCCCGAUCCCAGCAUACGUUUCUGCAUCUGUCCAAUGGGCAUUCAGACUCGUUGGCUUAAUGGAAGAAGCCGUGUUUGCAUUCCUCUUCUGAGGCCGAACCCCCAGAUGCUCUGGCAGAUUCCACGUGGAGUCUGAGCAGACAUGAGUACGGCUGGGAAAGGGACGGGGCAGGCACAGGAUUUCUGCCCGAAGGUUCUCCUGUCCACCGAGCUGUGUUCCAGUGAGGAUGUCCUGCUUUUCUCGUACUUCUAUGAGAUCGCUCGCUUAGAAUGCAGCGUGGCUCUGGUCUUCGGGCUCUCGGGCAUGAAUUGUGACGCUUGUCUGUAAACCUCGUUCCCUUGGACACGUCCUUACAGGUAAAUAAAUCAGCAAAGGAACGAUUAGUUCCUAGGCCC